CGGGUGAGUAACACGUGGAUAACCUACCUAUAAGACUGGGAUAACUUCGGGAAACCGGAGCUGAUACCGGAUAAUAUAUUGAACCGCAUGGUUCAAUAGUGAAAGACGGUUUUGCUGUCACUUAUAGAUGGAUCCGCGCCGCAUUAGCUAGUUGGUAAGGUAACGGCUUACCAAGGCAACGAUGCGUAGCCGACCUGAGAGGGUGAUCGGCCACACUGGAACUGAGACACGGUCCAG
rnacentral:rRNA from 1 species